rnacentral:tRNA from 1 species
UGGGAGGGGAUCGUCCCUGGUGGGGCGGCCGGGCUUCAAACCCGGUGGGUGGCGCCAGUCGUCGCCGGGAAGGUUCGACUCCUUCCCCCUUCCGCCA